rnacentral:rRNA from 1 species
UAGGGAAUCUUCGGCAAUGGGGGCAACCCUGACCGAGCAACGCCGCGUGAGUGAAGAAGGUUUUCGGAUCGUAAAGCUCUGUUGUAAGUCAAGAACGGGUGUGAGAGUGGAAAGUUCACACUGUGACGGUAGCUUACCAGAAAGGGACGGCUAACUACGUGCCAGCAGCCGCGGUAAUACGUAGGUCCCGAGCGUUGUCCGGAUUUAUUGGGCGUAAAGCGAGCGCAGGCGGUUUGAUAAGUCUGAAGUUAAAGGCUGUGGCUCAACCAUAGUUCGCUUUGGAAACUGUCAAACUUGAGCGCAGAAGGGGAGAGUGGAAUUCCAUGUGUAGCGGUGAAAUGCGUAGAUAUAUGGAGGAACACCGGUGGCGAAAGCGGCUCUCUGGUCUGUAACUGACGCUGAGGCUCGAAAGCGUGGGGAGCGAACAGGAUUAGAUACCCUGGUAGUCCACGCCGUAAGCGAUGAGUGCUAGGUGUUGGAUCCUUUUCGGGGAUUCAGUGCCGCAGCUAACGCAUUAA